UCUGAGAACUAAUUUGCUAUUCGGUGACAUAAGAGGGGGAGUGCGCUUUGCUUUCCCGGGGUCUGGGGCUAAUUCCUCCUCUCUUACCCAUAAACUCAGCUCCUCGAGCUAAAUACACAAAAGGGAGCGAGAGGUUCGACCCGUUGGAAAAAGUCUGUUAUAUAUAGUAGCUUUAGAGGCGAGUAAGAGAAAAAAACAAUAAACACCACAGCUCUUUCCAGCUAGAAUAUUAGGCACCACGAGAAAAAUAUUUGCCAAGCAGUCUUCGGGCUGUUUUCCAGGAUCAACAAGGUGGAUUUCUAUUCAUUUUUCAAGCAAUCGAGUUGAUGGGCGAGUUACCUCAACAAGAUGAUCGGAUAACUUUCUACCAAAGGGCUGACCUGAGUGAUAGGAGGAGCCCUGGGCCAACGCCAUCCUUCUAAGAGAAUCCCUGCAUCUAGCCCUCCCAUCUCUGUAACAAAUGCCGAGUGGAUCCAUGAAUGAUGAGGGAGAACGCUGGAGAGAGCCAGGCCUUCACACCCUGCCCUACAACAGCAAGCAUGAACCUGGCCUUUCAGUACCUCGCAGAGCCUGGGAUCUCCGCCCGCAGUGCUGCCUGCUCCCGUCCAGCCCCGGCGGGUGAACAGGUAGGUCCCCUAUUUCACACACAGUAGCCCAAGAAGCAGGGGUGAAGCUGUGGGAAGUGAGCGAGACCUUCGUGGUUCCUGCCACCUAGAUGCCACCAUCUUCCUUACCAGACAGAGCUUCCUAUUUUGGUGGAAGAGCUGAUUAAAAUUUACCAGUAAUCCACUGCACCUAGCUGCAAGAGAAGCUAGAAGAUGUAGUCUUUCUUUUGACAGCCGUGUUUCCAGCUAACAAUUCUGUACACGGGAAUAAGGAGCUGUAUUUCUGUAGAAGCUACAUAUGGAUAUUUGGAAACCAUUAGAAGUCCCUAUAAACAUGACAUCAUCCGGAAACAGGAAAAGCAAAAUUGGAAAACCUGUUUUUAACUGUGAGAGAACAGAUCUCCCUAUAAGUGUGUGUAGGUGGGGCUUAUCACUGCCAUCUCCAGUCGUGGAGCACCGUGCGAGACGGAAGUUCAGCUCACCUGCGUGGACUCAAGCAUAGACAUCUGGGUGGGGGUUGCAUGAGUCAAACUCUGCCAUGACUGUUGGCGCUGUGUGAAAAUGCAGCACCGGCUUCCACUCCUGCAAGUGUCCAGGCAGGAGCCGAACGAUCCCUUAUAAGGUCUCCAAAGAGGAGAAUCCAUCUGGAACGGAGGUUACCCUGCCCAUCUCCAAGUUCAUCCUUCAGCCUCAAGCACACUUCUCCUGAUCCCUCAGAUUCUUAGGGCUUCCAGUGCUCUCCUUUGCUGCACUCGCCACAGUUGUAAUUAAUGAGCACAGUCACUUGGUUCAUGUCUGUCUUCUCCACUGGAUUGUAGAAGCGGCGACUGUCUUGCCCCCUCACAUUGGGUCUGCUGUGGGGAGCAGAGGGCACGGCCCCAGUGGGCACUCAGGAAAACAGGAGGGGAGUGGGGGACCGAUGCUGCGCUUGUCAGCUUGUAAACUGCUCAUGACAAUUAUUCUUUAAAAACAAGGUAUUGAGAUAUAAAACAGAACAGAAAGCACGUGAAGGAAGUGGUACGGAAUACUACCAGACAUCGAGGGGAACUGAACUUGAUUCCAAGCUUCCUGGAAACGAAGUAUAAAAAGACAACACCCUGGGUUACCGAAUUUGCUUUUUCUAAUGGGACGAAACAUGCGAAGCCCUCUGCAGAAGCCAAGUUUUCCCAGUGAUUGAUUACAAGGAGACUAUUGUUUGUUCCCAGUUAAUGUGUAAGCAUGAUCGAACCCCUCCGAACUCCAAACAAGACAGGGAAAGAAAAGCAAGCUCCCUCCACCCCUCUCCGCAGCUGUCCCACCCGCCCCAGUUCCUCCCCACUGGGGCUGCGCCGCUUGGCCUCUUCAUUUCCCGUUCACGGACGGCUUACCACCCCUUGCUCCAGCUCUCUCCAAUCCACCCCAGCUGCCAUCAUGUCACCAAAGGCAACAGCAAAAUUGUCCAGGCUCUGUCUAAGCUCCCAUCUUUAUUGCAGUCGACAUGUCUUAGUUAUUUGAAGCUCUGGUCCUCGCUAGAUCAUGUCCCUUGGUUCUGCGACACCACACUGCUCUGAUUUUCUUCCUGUCGUCCUUAAUGUUCUUCCUCAGUUCCUGUGAAGGACUGCUUGGGCUCUGUUCCUCUAUUAAUGUUGGCAUUCCUAAGGUUUUAAAAGUUUUUUUUCUUUGACUCUUUCAUUUCUCACUCCACAUACUUUCCCAGGAAAAUUUCAUCUGCUCUAAUGGCUUUAACUGCUGUCUAGAUUUUAAUGACUCCCAAUUUCAGAUCAUCAGGCUGGAUGACCCACCCGAGCUUCAAACCCACGGAUUUAACUUCCUUGUGGAUACCGUGCAUGCUCCUCAAACCCUCUUGCUCCAAAUCGAGCCAAUAUUUUCCCUUCUUUGUAAUCUGUUACUCUUCAUGGGUUCCCUAUCUCAGUGAAGGGCCCUGCCUUCUACCCCGCUUCUCACGAUAGAAAUCGUGUCAUCAUCUUUAACUCCUCCCUCUCUCUGAGUCCUCAUCCCCUCACAUUCAACCACCCAGUCCUGUCAGCAUGACUCCACUGAUCGCUAUCAUCCGUGUCACCAUCAUCGUGCAGGCCCCGGGGUUUUGCCACAAAUCUUACUUAACCAGCUGUGCCCUAGACCUGCCCUCCAGAGUGGGCUUUCUGAAGCAACACUUGGAACUUGUACCUGCCCUACCUCAAACUUCUCAGUGGCUCUCCAUGACCUUCAGGAUAAAGUCCUAACUCCAUAAUGAGGCUUAAACAGCCCUGCCUGGUCUGGCUUCUUCUUACCUUCCAGCCUUACCUCCUCCUUAUUUCCAAACCCCACUCCGACAGUCCACAGUCCCACCAGCCGCACCACAUCUGCUCUCCCAUGGCACUUGGCGCUCUCUUGCCUCAGGGCCAUUGCAUGUGCUGCCCUGUUCUCUUCCCAGCUCUCUACACAUGUCCUGGAUUGCUCCAAUCCCUCUUCCACUCUCACCUUUUAAGUGACUUUAUUCUUUCAUGCAUUCAGGAAAUAGUUCCUGAGCAACCCAGUGUGUGCCAGGCACAACACAGGUACUUAUAAAUACAACAGUAGGCAAGGGACAUGUGGCCUCUGUCCCUACGGUCCUAGUCCAAGAGGCUUUCCUUGAUUUCCCAAGGCUGUGUGGGUCUCCCGUGGAACCCUGUCCUCAGCCCACAUGACACUGUCUCCAGUGUAUUUUAAUAACUUUUAACCUAGGGUAUAAACUAGAUCAACAAACUUUCUGUAGAGGGACAGAUGACAAACAACAAAUAUAUUUGGCUUCUCAGGAUAUACAGUCUCUGUCCCAACUACACAGCUACUCAAGUGGUAGAGGGAAAGCAGCCACAGAUAAUACAUAAAUGAGGAGACACUGCUGUGACCCAUGACUCUAUUCACAAAAGCAGAUGGUGAGCCAGCUUGGCCCAUUGGGCAGAGUUUAUUGACCCCUGGUCUAAAGAGCUAAACUACGAUGUUCUUAUUCAGCUUUGUAUCCACAGUGCAAACGUGGUGCUCAACAUAAAGGCUUCCCUAUGAAAGUGUGUUGAAUGAAUAAGUGAAUGGUAAGUGAGCAAAUUAGGACAGACCUGUUUACUCUUUUUCCUGCGGCCAUAUCUCCUUGGUCACAAUAUGCUCCAUAGUCACUCUGUGUAGUCACGGAACCCUCAGUGGGGUAGUUUUUCAUCUGUUUUGCUUAGCAAAACUCUGGUGUUGAGCAAAUACCGUGCCAGAAGUUUUGGUUCCUUUGGCGGUAGUGGUCAAUUUUUGAGUCCUUUGUCACUCACUACCCCCCCGACCAUUGUUUACAACACAGGUUUUUUUUUGUUUUUUUCCCCUAGAAAUCAUAGUUAAAUGCUGGAAUAUCCAGAUAUACUUCAUCUAAUUCAUUGCAGACUUAGUCAUUUUAUCCGUGUGUAUAUAGAUACAUUCCUCUGUUCCACAACUAUUAAUUUAAACCCACUUUAAGACUUCUCUGGAGCAGGUUGAAUAUUAGAAAAAAUUCAAUUAAAUCUAUGCAUAGAGAAUCUAUUAUGCAUGGGGCGGUAGCAGAAACUUCAGCAUGCAGUGGGGACAAAGAUAACUCAGAUAAGCUACUGUCACUAAGGGGCUUAUAGUGCAGAGAGGAAAUAGGAAAUAUGUAGGUGAAUAAGUAAUUCUGAUUCAAUGUAGAAAGUGCUAAGUUUCUUGAGGAAGGGAUCAGCAAAGUGCUCUGGGACUUUCAUAGGGAGUAAAAUUUAUUUUCAGCCAGAGAUCAAAGAAGGCUUGGAGGGAGAAAUGUGUAAUCUGGACGUGGAAAGGUAGGUAUUUGGAUACUGAGAGGGCAGUAAAGGGCCUUCGAGACAGAGGAAAGUAUAGGCAUACCCGCAAGUUACUAGAAAGCAAGUUUUAAUGAAGCUAUGUCCAGGGACUGGCUGAUAAAAGUGCAGCCAAACCCCUUCAAGAAGGCGCCAAGUCCAUUCUGGUCCGGAAUGCAUUGAUAAUUGGGACAUUAUGCUCAGACACUGCAAAUUGACAUUCUGUCGUCAUCUCCCUUGGAAUAGAAACCCUGAUCCUUUAAAGUAAUUAGCACCAAUUUGGAGCAUUGGGUGCAAAAAUAAAUCACAAGUGUCCAAAAACAGAUACACUAAGUUCAAUGGUUAGGAAGCAAACGUUCUUAUUAGCUCCGCCUAUGUAAACAAAAUCAGAAGCAAUUAGCAUUUAAAAAUAGAAGAGAAAAGAAGAGUUCACAGUUCCCACUGGAAAAUUAUUAUUUAUAUAAAUGUCCACAAUGAUGACUUCCACUCACCCUUUCUGAUUUCAGUCAUGUUAUUUCAAUGGCUAAAGGAUCAGUGUUCUUUUCUAGAAGUGAGGAGAGAGAGCGGUGAUUCUAUGCAUGUUUCCCUGGUUGGAACCGAGAGAUGUGUGUCUGCUGACAAACAGACAGGAAUUCCGUCGUUCCUUUGAAAAAGGCUGUACUGGUUGAUACUCCAAUGGACAGUGGAAAGUGCUUCCUCCACGCUCAGCCUCCUGCCCGGGAACUGCCUCAUCACUUGAUGGAUGAAAAGAUGCCACAGAGGGAAUUGGCAGCUGUCUAAUCAUACCCACGUAGGUAUUGGCCACGCUACGUGCACCAAGCUUUCAGAUCUGCGGUCACUACGCGAGAUAAUGCAUGUAAAGUACUAAGGAUAGUGCUCGGCACAGUGUAAGUGCUCACUAAAUAGUGGUUGUUGCUCUUAUUAAAGCAUGCUGCCAUGGUAGGGACCUACCAGAAGCUUCCAUAGCUGGUUCUGUGUGGAAGAUGAACUGGAAAGGAGAGAGAAGAGAGGUCGGGAGGCUCCAGCAGCUCCUUCCAGACUGAGUGAAAUGCCCCUUCUUCUGUGCUCCUAGCACCACCCUCACCUCUUCCCGUUCAGUGUAAUUAGUUGAUUCCUCGUCCAACAUAAUACUGUCCCUGGAGGACAAGAGGUAUGUUCUCUGCCAUCAGAGAGUGAUGACCUAUGGGCUGGGAUGCUGUAGUCUCCCUCAUAUACCCAGAGGGAAUUUGAAGCCAUAAACUUCUGAGUUUGAGACUCUCUCACUCUAUUAGUGUUUUAAUGCCUGAAAGUUACCAAGGAGAGAGAGACAGUCAUGACACCAUAAAUUAUCAUGUGAGUUUCCUCUCCUUAAUGAGGACGCAGCCUCUUUAAUGGAGGAAUCAUAUCUCAAGCUUCUUUUAUCAUGUUUUCCACCAUGACAACUAGUGUGCUGAGGAAGGCACGCAGGAGGCCCUGGAUACAUACAAAGUGGGGAAAAGUAACAGAACCGGUGUUUGGUGCGAUUUAAGGAAACCCGUCCCUUUGCUUUAGAGUCAUGUGUGCUUUGUGUUGACUGAUGAAAUCACCAUGUGGCUAUUUAGCUAAAAGGCCAGUUCGCCUUUGCAGAGCGUUGACCACACUGUCAGGACUGCCCUGAGAACGGUGCUGCCCUCUGCGUCACCCUCACCAGGCCGUGCCCCACACGCUUCAGCGGCAAGCUGUGCCUCCGGGUGGGCCAGAAAGGAAUGUCUGGGGAAAUGGGAUUGUAGAAGGUAACAGCCACUGGGAGAAUUUGGCCCCAAUGCUGAGGACUCUUCAAUCAAUAUGCAUGACUUUCAGAAUUCCUAUUUUAAUCAGCGAAACGGAAAUGAAAUUCCAAUGUAGCUUUUAGUUUAAAAAAAAAUUACAAGUGGUAUAUGAUAUUCAUGCAUACCAUUUCCUCUGAAAUUCUUUUUAAGAAUUGAAGAAAAUAACCAUAUAACAUACUGGAAAGAACACUAGCCUAGGCGUCCAGAGAUUUAAUUUCAUGCCCUAAAUUUAUCACCUAGUAGCUAUGUGAUCAAAAGCAGUCACUUCCCCCCAUCUUACCUCAUUUCACUUAUAUAUAGAAUGAGAGGUUUGAUGCUAUGUAAGCUCCCCUUCAACCCCUGGUAAUAAGUGAGUCCAUAAUUCCCUAAUUCGUGUUGAAGACCCAUCCAUCCAUCCAUCCAUCCAUCCUUUUCGCAAAUAUUUAUUGAAUUUCUUCUUGUCCUACGUCCAUGCAAUUCGAGGCUUCUCCUUGAGUUGGUAGAUUGAUGGCAUCAUCCUCCUUCCAAGCACCAGAUUCAACAUCUUGUGUAAAUUCCGACCCUCUUACUCUCUCACCCACCUCACCUUCAACCAGUCUGCAGUGUUUAUUCUUUCUCUGUGUUUCUCUGGUCCAUCCCAUUCUUUCCACGCCUACUCCACUGCUCUCCUUCCAGUCUCCCCAGCUCACACUUGAGCCGCUACAAAACUUCCGAAGUGAACUCCCAGCCUCAAUAAUUUUCCUUCCCGAUCCACUCUACAUGCCAUGCCUAGAGUUACCCCUAGUCUUUCAUUUUAAUCAACAUCUUUUGAAGGCUUGUUGAAUGUAGACGCUGUGCCUGGGCCCUUAAGGAGCUCACAAUCCAGAGAGGAAGGCAGACAAAAUCAGAGGAUAAGGACAAUGUGAUGCUGGGCUGCCAUGAUGGAGAAGGGCUCAGAGGGUUGGAUUUCUUCCUUUCUCUGGUUGGCAUCUGAUGUCGCCCUUGAAGACUGAGUAGAAAUUUGACAAAGUAAAAAAGUACCCAUCUGAGAAAGUUACAGAAGGCAUCUCGGAUUCACAACACCCCCCGCCAACCCCCCACUGAAUAACACGUCGUCUGGCAACAGGAGGCGUUUGAUUACAUUUGGAUGGAACGCCUGCAUCAACUCCAGUUGUCCCCGAAUUGGAACUGAUGGGCCUCACGUGCCGCAGCCAACAGUUUGCCUUCACCCACUCCCCUCUCUGAAAUGAACCUUUCUCUGGGAAAACAAGAAACCUACGUGCCAUCCUGGGUGAGAGACGAGCAAGAGCUGUGUCCCAGCGUCACAUCCCAAGCAUGGCAGGCAAGAGCACACUGAGGGGUUUCCAACAGGGAGCUGUGCUUCCGGCAUCUCUGGAGAGACCCUCCGAACCAGAGGAUGCAAAUAUUCUCCCCGGGGCGCUGCAGUCUCCGUGUUUAAUUCAUUGAGUCCUCACUGUGUGCAGUGUAAGGCAGCAGGCUACUAUCCCCUUGAGCAAGCCUCCAUCAUCUGCCUCCUCACGCUCUGUCUUGGCUCAGUCACUGCAGCAGGCCGAGUAAUGGCUCCCCCAAGAUAGCCACAUACUAAUACCCAGGACCUGUGAAUGUGUUAUAUUACACAGCAGGGGGGGGGAUUACAGUUGCAGAUGGAAUGAAGCUGGCUGAUCAGCAGACUUAAAACAUAGAGACUCUCCAGGACGAUCCAUGUGGCCACAAUGGAAUCACCAAGGUCCCCACAUAGGCAAGAGGGAGGCCGAAGCAUCAGGACCAGUGUGGUGGCAUCAAGAGAAAGACUCGACCUGCCAUUAUUGCUGGUUAUGAAGAGGCGGUCCAGGGCUAUGAACCAAGGAACACGGGCCAGAAGUCUGAAAAAGGCAAGAAAAUGGAUGCUUCCCUAGAGCUUCCUUGACGUUAGCCCAGUGAGGCCGCUUCAGACUUCUGACCUCUAGAAUGAUAACAUCUGUGUUAGUUCACAGCAGUAGGAACGGAGACAGUCCCUGUGGACUUGCCAUGUGCCAGGCCUGGUGCCGGAUGCCAAGGGAACAUUCCCACAGCAUGUGAUUUGUACGGCGUAUCAGUCAUCGGGGUCCCACCAGGGAGACAAGCCCUGAGUCUAAACACAGGGAACCGAAUGCAGGUCACCGGCUAGAGAGGUGAUCGAAGAAGUUGAAAAGUCUGGUCCACAAGUGGCCCUUAAUAGUUACGAAGUGACUGAAUGUGAGACACGAAAUAAUUAUGCAUUCAGUGAUGCAGUGUCUUUUUCUUACCCUGCCUCCUGCCCCAGCAAGCUGUCGGAGGAAAGGGAGGUAUUACGUUCAUCUACGUGCUUUUGAGGACUUUCCUUCGACCUAGACCUUAGUAGCUGAUCAAGGGGUGUGUGUUGCUCUGAGUUUCUAGGCGACGUGAGGAGCCAAGAGGGGCACAGCCUGAUCUAGAAGUGCAACUUCUAGUAGUUCAACAUCGCCAUAGGUCCCAACAUUUGUGCGGCUCUUUUGAGUUUACCAAGGGCUCUCCACUUGGUCCUUACACUGACUCUAAAAAGAAAAAUGACUCUUACGAUUCCCACUUUCCAGAAGAUGAAUCUGAGCUCACAGGGGUUAAUUAUCUUGCUCCAGAUCUUACUUUUUCAAGCAAGGAAGCUGAAAUUAAUUCAUUGUUCCAAAAAUAUUUAUGGAAUGCCGGCAACGUGCUAGCCCCUGGCUCAAUCUUCUGCCCUUAGUAGGGGCUGGGGAAACACAGGAACUGGCAGUUCCAAAGAAAUUGGCAUGAGCUCCCAGAGGAUAAAAGGGGGGCCCCCAGUUCCAGCUGCGGACCCGAGGAGCAAGACGAUUACCUGUGUUCUCCAGCUGGGGUUUGGCAGGGACUGCUGUGCUGCUGGUUGUGCCUUAGAGCAAGGUUCUGGGUGGUCGGCCGGACGUGCCUGGAGGCAACAUCACAGCAAACCCUCAGCAGCUCUCCCACUAACAGCCCUGGCGUUCUGAGUCUACCCUUUUCCAUAUAUUCUUUCCUCCUUCCUGUGCCAAGAUUUCAGGAGACGAUUUACAGUGGGUUCCAGGCCAUUUAGCUCAGUCAAAAAUUUGGGUGAAAGUUUCCUCCCAGCCAUCCCAGGCCACAGAUAACCCAUCAGGGUGUGACAGCCAGGGCGAAGGAGGGGGAAGAAACACCAGGGAGAUUUUGAGUUGCAGGAUUGGACCAGAAGUUUCUGCAGCUGCUGCAUGUGACCGCUGUCCUCUGGCUGUACAAAAUGUGUCCGCAAUGGGUUGGUUGAGAAACUUAGGACAAGAUACCAAAGAGACACAUCUUGUCUCACUAGAGAUGGCAGAGGCCCCCGGAAGGUGGCCUGCUGGCCGGGCUCUCGGCCAACGCGCAGAGGGCCAGCGCGGGGGUAGGAAGGGGCAGGUGGACAAACAGGACGAGAAGGCUAGGUGGCCAGAUCUUCACAGGGGCUGGGCCUUGCCCAGCCUGCCGGCACUCCUCCGGUGCUUGAGCGCCUCUCUCUGUAAGUAAAUCCCGGCAGCUCUUACAGUGCAGGAUGUCCCACAUACCGUCCAUCCGAGGUGGGGUAAAAUACAAAUAUGCCUUUUCAUAAUAGCUUUACACCUGGAGCGCCAGAGGACCGGUUUAUUACCUUGGUAAACAAAAGUUCGAAUUCUAGCAGAGUACAAACUUUGCCCAAGGCACUUCUGACGGUGCACCUUGUGUUUGUGAAGUGAACUCGAUAUAUAUACAAUGUGAAGCAAUGGAAGGCUGGGCUUUUUCUUUCUUUUUCUUUUUUUUUCUCUCUCUCUUGUCUGAUUUCCAAGGUUUAAAAGUUCAUGGGCGUGUGGGGUGAGUGGGGGAGGAGGUGCAGAGAGAGAAUUUACUUUGGCUCUGGCUUUUUUGAGCAUUUUGAAAUCAUGCUGUUUGGUGUGAAAAAAAUAUGUGAGCCAAUUUGUAUUGUUUUCCAGCGAGAGAGUGUGCUUCUUUCUGCUCUCAUGGUGACAAUUAGGGUUUGUGGGUGGGAGACAGGGUAAACCAGUUUGGGGAACA